rnacentral:sRNA from 1 species
CUUCUUCCACCUGUUGAGGGCAGAUAAAGUGAAUAUGGGCGUCAAUGCCUCCAGCGGUGAGAAUCUUGCCUUCGCCUGAGAUAAUUUCAGUGCCGGGGCCGAUGACAAUUUCCACAUCCGGCUGGGUGUCGGGGUUGCCUGCCUUGCCAAUGGCGGCGAUACGACCGUUUUGCAGCCCUACAUCGGCUUUAACGAUGCCCCACCAGUCUAAAAUCAGCGCGUUGGUAAUCACCGUAUCCAUGACCGAGGCAUCAUUGCGCUGACUCUGACCCAUGCCGUCGCGUAU